rnacentral:rRNA from 1 species
GCAUAUCAAUAAGCGGAGGAAAAGAAACCAACAGGGAUUGCCCUAGUAACGGCGAGUGAAGCGGCAACAGCUCAAAUUUGAAAUCUGGCUCUUUCAGAGUCCGAGUUGUAAUUUGCAGAGGGCGCUUUGGCGUUGGCAGCGGUCCAAGUUCUUUGGAACAGGACGUCACAGAGGGUGAGAAUCCCGUACGUGGUCGCUAGCCUUCGCCGUGUAAAGCCCCUUCGACGAGUCGAGUUGUUUGGGAAUGCAGCUCUAAAUGGGAGGUAAAUUUCUUCUAAAGCUAAAUACUGGCCAGAGACCGAUAGCGCACAAGUAGAGUGAUCGAAAGAUGAAAAGCACUUUGGAAAGAGAGUCAAAUAGCACGUGAAAUUGUUGAAAGGGAAGCGCUUGCAGCCAGACUUGCCUGUAGUUGCUUAUCUAGACUUUUGUCUAGUGCACUCUUCUGCGGGCAGGCCAGCAUCAGUUUAGGCGGUUGGAUAAAGGUCUCUAUCACGUACCUCCCUUCGGGGUUGGCCUUAUAGGGGAGACGACAUGCAACCAGCUUGAACUGAGGUCCGCGCAUCUGCUAGGAUGCUGGCGUAAUGGCUGUAAGCGGCCCGUCUUGAAACACGGACCAAGGAGUCUAACAUCUAUGCGAGUGUUUGGGUGUCAAGCCCAGACGCGUAAUGAAAGUGAACGGAGGUGGGAACCUUUUAGGUGCACCAUCGACCGAUCCUGAUGUCUUCGGAUGGAUUUGAGUAAGAGCAUGGCUGUUGGGACCCGAAAGAUGGUGAACUAUGCUUGAAUAGGGUGAAGCCAGAGGAAACUCUGGUGGAGGCUCGCAGCGGUUCUGACGUGCAAAUCGAUCGUCAAAUUUGGGCAUAGGGGCGAAAGACUAAUCGAACUAUCUAGUAGCUGG